ensembl:snoRNA
CGUGAGAGUGAUGAGUUGCACCAUCAGUCGGGCGCUGGUUGCAGUGGCACAGGCGUCCCGUCCCGCAUGUCUCUGGGGACACAACCAUGUGCACAGGGGCCAUCUGACUCACC